GAGAGCCAAUGGAAACAGACAUGUGUUGAUUUUGCCCCUAUAAUCUAGGGGCAAAAUCAACGCGUGUCUGUUUCCAUUGGCUCUC